AAAAGAUGCACAAAGUUUCAAAAUUUAUAAAGAACAAUUUCGAAAUAAUGUGUAAACGAAAAAAUUGUAUUUUUUUAUGUAAGCAUUAUGUAAUCUUAUACGCUUUGACGUCAGUUCUAUCUCUUGUCGAAAUUUUUUUUUAAGAUGCUUCUAAUGGAAGAAAUAUAAUUUUCAACGUAAAAUAAAAUUUUUCGCACCAUUACAACGCUAAGAAUGUUAUACGCGUAUCGGCAAUACAAAGUUGCAAAACAAGUAGCAACGUAACGGCGAGCGCUCACGUAUACUACCAGACCUCGUGGUUCACCGAUGUAUGUCUAUCUAAAGGAUGGCGCUGAUUGGAUUACUUAUUACUUACUGCUUUAUUAAGCACUAUCGAAAAAAAUGGUUCAGGACUUUUCAACUCAGCUUUUAGCAAAGAAUAUCACUAAUUAGUGGGCGCUUUUUAAUAUAUACCCUGUAUAUAACGAUGUGCACUAUCCAAUCAAGACACCGAAAUAGUAUCUAGUAAACAACAAUGAGCAAGUAGCAGCAAUGUAGUAUUGUUAUCAAAAUUAUAAAAUAUAAAUAAAACACUUGUUUUCCAAUUUUCUGUAACUUUAAAAAAUAUGACUAUAAUGAUUAUUUGACUGAAUGGUAUCGUUAUUAAUACUAUAAGAUGCGUAACAUCAGUACAAAAUGACCUUUCAAAAAAAAAAAAGUUAAAAAAAUGCCAAAUGUGUGUGCGUGUGUGGGCGCUUCUAUCUUUUUUUAUAAAAUCCAAGUGGUGGCAUCUUUAAUUUUCUUACAAAAUCUAAGCAAUACUAUCUUUGUAUUCCCAUUGAUGUCUUCCUAUUUCAAUCCAAGUAGCAUAUAUAAAUCCCCCCUCCUAAAAAAAAAGAUACUAAAAUUGUGUAAUCUAAUUCAACCCAAGUAAUGUUUUAAAAAAAUGUAUGAAAUCUUUUAAUUGCGCCUAACAUUUAAUAAUCCUUCGAGCCGGAUAUUUAAACAAAGUAAACAAGAGAUAAACAAUUAAAAUUUUGAUACUGUUAUCAAUAAAUGUGCUCAGUGCGGUAAUCAUUUGAAAUUAUUAAGACUAAAUUUAAAAGAGUAUAUGACUAUAAUAUUGAACAAUCAGUGAUAUGCGGAUGUUGACGCAAAAAUCCCCGGACACAUUUUUAUGUAAAAUUGGAUCGGUAAAAUGGUUAAUUCCAAAAUUUAAUUGCUCAUACCAAGAGCUUUUCAAAACACUAUAAUAACGGUAAUUUUUAUUUAGUACUUUCUGAGUUAUAAAGCUUAAAAGUUACAGUAACUUUCUAUCUUCAAUAACUAACUAUCAAAACACUAUAAUUUUAUCUACUUUGAACAGCCGUUUUGAAAUUAUUGAGUAUCUUAUGACAAGAUGUCGGUGACUAUAGGUAAAUCAAACACGAAAACUGUUCAUUUUUUUUGUUCAAAGUUUUACAUGUUUUGUUUAACAGGUCAUAAUCUACAACAUAUAAAAAAAAACUAAUUUUAUCGAGAUCCUAUUUUACACAAAAAUGUGUGCAGGAUUCUUUGCGCAAAAGCAUUUGUAUGUAGCUACUAAAACAAGAUUGGUAAUUAUUCAGAAAUCAUAAUUAUUAGAUCCGUGAUUUACAUUCCAGGCAAAACGUAGAUUUUCGCGUAAAUUGCAUUAUUUAUUGUUCUCGAAAUAAAUACAAAUAAAGCCAACCGUUAAAAUGCUGGUACAAAAGCAAACAGCAAUUAAAGGUAAAAUAAUAAAAUAUCAACCUUUCUGAAUAAUUACACAACAAAUCCCCUGACCUCGAUGAAUUGAACGUUUAUAGCAAAAAUAAGACCUAUUUGAGAGGUUUGACAUUUAGAAGCAGUAGGCAUAAUCCGCGUGAUUCGUUCGAGAAAGCUUUGUAUAAAGACGUGUAUUUUGAAUUUGUAUCCAAAACUGGACGAUAUAUUGCUGCGGCUUCAAUAACCAUACCGACCAGCUACCCCAAAUAGUAUGUUUGCAAACUCAACGCGUGUUAUAAAAUUACUAACUAUUAAUUUAUCUCAUUUGAUGGCAGCUAUGAUAAAUGGUUGUACUUUUAUAAUUUUAAAUCAGUUAUUCUUCAUAAAUGAUGAUCAAGUCAACUUGUUCAAAAAUUAUAAUAUUUAAGGUUUUAUUCAAAGGAAAAUACUGCACAAUGUCAUAGAAUCACUUAUAACAUCCGCUGAAUUGUGAAAAUGCGUGGGCAUUGAUUAAGGUAUUGAUAAUAUUGAUAAUAAGCGCAUUAUAAUACAAAAUCACAUGUGAUUGCAAUUCGUGCUGCCAAGCAUGGCGAAAUAAUCUUGUAUAGUUUCGUGAAAUUUAAUUGAUAGUUCAUUAAAGCAUAUUCGAACGUUGGGUUUGUAAACCAAACAUGCAAUGUUGAUCCAUUUAGUGAUCUCUAAGCUAGAUAAAAGUUAGAUAAACGCGUGAAGAAUAGAAAAGUCCAAUUGAUUGAAUCGUUCUGCUUUUAAGGGAGAAACCUCCUUUAUCGGGUAAAAAAAAAAUCGAUAUUUUGGAAAUAGUCUUAAACGAUUGUUAAACUAUUCAAGAAUAUUCCCUGAAAAUUUCAAGGCGAUAUCUGAAGUAUUUACGAAGUUAAAGCGGACGGGUCGGGUGACGAGUUCAGACGAGCCUAGCGACCCUCGGGCAAUCGCAUUUAUACCUGCGUUCUCGGAGCGUGUUUAUACCUGCGUUCAAAAAAUCCGUCCGAUCUUCGACAAUCUUUCGAAUGACAGUCUUUUGGAAAGGUGUUUAGGCGGUUACACAGAGAAUGCAAAUGAAAAUUUCAAUUCUACCGUUUAGCGUUUAUCGCCUAAACACAUUCACAAUGGAGCAAAAAUCGUCUGCAUUGCUGCGUAUAUUGCUGCAUCGAUAUUUAACGAAAGCUACAAUGCAGUGUUAAUGAUAAUGAACAAAUUGGAUAUCGAAAUUGGGAUCCAGGCACACAAUUUUGCCAUAACGAAGGACGAGAAGCGAAUAAACAGACAGAACCGCCGAAGCUAUAGCAGCUUAAAAGAGGCAAGAACGGCUCGUAGGAUGGAGAUGAUGGCUUAAAACGUAUUCUACGAGGAAGCGGAGAGACUACUUUAUGCAGAUGGAAUCGCUGAUUAGCGUGAGACUGUCAUCAAAAUUAAGGACGCUACAGUGUACACAGCGGAGACACUCCAUAAGCAAAACAAUAUUAAUAUAGCGCCCGUUUUAAUAGUAAACUUCCUUUUUAUUCCUGUGUACUCUUCGAUUGUGUAUUAAAUUGUCAUAAAAAUUUCAAAACGUUUCAAGUUAUUAUACCCAAGAAAAAAAUUCGUGAAAAUUAUGUAUUUUUCGACCGUGUAAAGGAGGUUUCCCCCUUAAUUCAGGCAUUGACUUGUGGGUGCUCACGCAGCACGCGAAGAAAACAUGCUCCCUCUUCGCACGGCUGCUUCUUUCCGUCUUUCCUUUCUGGCCCCGCAAUCCACCUAUCUCCUCCAUACGACCUCACUCUCAAUACCUAGGCCUACUAUACUAGAGUAUGUGUACGCAACUUGCACGUAUGGAAGAGGAAGCGGAAAAGCUCGAGCUAUAGUUUGUGGACCAUGCCUAUUGAUGAUCUUUGAAAGUUUUCAAAAAAUAAAUGCCGCGUUUUAACGAUUAUUGCACUCGGAGAUGUGUUGCUACUCAAAAAUAAUAGACGAUUAUCAAUGAUAUGCGAUGGUAAAGAAAGUAAUCAGGAGUAAGAAGUCGCAUAAUUAUCUUAUUAUCCAGGACAAGUCGCGCUGUCCGGUAUGUAAUAAAGCUCAUGUAAUUCAAAAAUACAAAGAAUUUUUACGUUGAGAUUAUUCUACAAAAAUGUCAAUGGCUAAGGCGGCAUGUUUGUUUCAAUUAUUUGUGUUACUAUCAUUCAGUUAACUUCUGUAAAUUUAGGCGUUAUCUGAAAUGUAUAAUAAACGUUGGCAUGACUUAUUGCAUUUUUUUAAAACGCAAUUGUCAUUAAAUGUCAAGUUCACGAUCGGAAAACAAAAAUGUACAAACAAUAGCAGCAUCGCAUGUGCUUUUAUCCACUACCAUAUAGUGUCUGAUAGUUUAGUAGAGGACAUAAAUGUAAGAUCUUGCUGAAUUUCGAUUCCCAAUCAAACAUUAUUAAGACUUCAUUAGUGGAAAUAUUAGGCUUGCAAAAAAAAAGUUAAUAAGCCGGAAUCUGGUUUUGGCCAAGCUCUCAUACACAUAAAAUAUGCUGUAGAUGCAAAAUUCAAUGUAAUAACGAUUGUUUCAAUACAAAACUUACGUUCUUGAUGAUACAAGAAAUCCUGCAUAGAUAAGAGCAAAUUUAAUGGACCGCGAAAAACUAUUUAUUCUACAAAAAUGAUGUUUACACAUACAAAAGACUGAUGUUUUAGUCUUUUAUACUCUAUUUCUUACUCUAUUUUUCUACAAAUCUCCUUGAAGUUCUACUGCCUUCCUCCAGCAAUUUACUAGGGCGUCUGUACUCUGUCGGUCUCAGUCCUCGUUCUGAUUACGGAGAUAGGUUUCCACUGCGCUUAUCACCGCUUCGUCAUCUUCAAAAUGUUUUCCGGCCACUAAAGAAUAGCAUUCAUGGAAAACAUUUUAAAGACGACAAAGAGGAGAUUAUAGCGCAGCAAAAACCUGACUCCGUAACCAGAGCAAGGACAGCGCAUAGACGCCUUAGUGAAUCGCUGAAAGAAGGGAGUAGAAUUUGAAGAUUAUGUAAAAAAAAAUAAAAUGAGUAGAUAAAAUAUCAUUCUUUCACCUGUUUAAACAUCAUUGUAAAAUAGUUUUGAGAAAAAAAUGUGGGGUAUAAUUUUUUGGGCAGCCCUCAUGCAAAACCUAAAAUAUUUAUCAGAUGAGAAAAAAGCAUACAAAGUACACUUUAAAAUACUUUGGAGGCGCCGAUACAGCAUUAGGCUAUCAUUUAAUAAAAAUGUAAAUAAGAGACAGACGAAUCGUCCUGUGCAGUCAAAAGACGAUUGUAUUCGAUAGAAUAACGCUUAUCCCCGAAUAAACUACAAUGCUCUGAGUACUCACGUUUGAUUUGUAAAUAUGCGGAUAUUGGACAAAUUUGAUUGAGAUAACGGAUAAAUAUAUAUAAAAAAAAGCAUAUUUUAUGUCGCAUCCGUGAUCGUAAACGAAAGUUUUACAGCAAAACUAAGAGUGGUCUUUGAUGCGUCGGCAUUAAAGUUGUUAAAAAAAUUUUUAUGUGAAUAAUCUUGUCGCUGGAAUUAACAGUUAUGAGAAUUUCCAAUUACAAAAUAAGCUGAUUGAACUUCUCCAUAGAGAAAAAUUCCAAUUGCAAUAAUAAGUUUCUAAUGAUAGUAAACUAAUUAUCUUACUAAGCAAUCUGAAGUAUCUUUGUAUUCCUUGUAAGAAUUGUAAAGACUCUGGAAAUUCAUUGGAAUUACAGAAAUGAUAUUAUUACCAAGCGAACAUUACUUUCACAGAUUGCGGCAACCUUUGACCAGCUAGGAUUAUUGGAACUAAUUAUAACCAAAGCUAAGAUUAUACAGCAACUUUGGCAGUUCAAACUCGAUAAGAAUCAAACAAUCCUGAUGGAUGUAAUCGUGCUAUGGAAUAAAUAUAGAAAUCAGCUUAAUACAAUUAUAAAAUACAACCCUAAAUGCGCAGUUAAAUCCGGACAAAACAAUUUAUUAAAACAUUUCUUUUUUCAGAAAGAUUUAAAAUUACAAACAAAUUUUUAUACGUCGUUUAAAAGAUUCUUCCUAAGUCUUAUUAUUCAAUAUAACUUUCGUUUGCUGCAAUUACUGCCUCCAUCUUGCUUGAAGCGCAAGCACGCUCUCUUGAACUACUCGUCCACAUUCACAAAUACUAUCUCAAUAACGACAUGAAGGGUUGCCACGUUGGGAAAUCUGAAUAUGUUAAAUAGCCUGUCAAUAACGUCCCAAACGUAAUAAUAUAGGGGGUUUAAAUCUGAACUAUUAGUUCAGAAUUUCUUAAGCCAAAACGCGUCCACGUUAUUAGAAAGCCAGUUUUGCACUAAAUGGCUUGUAUAAGCCGGUACGCUGUUCUGUUGAAAAAUGUCUCAAGUCCUCUUCAGCAAUGCGACGUAUGAUAGCCUUAUUCAUCUUCGAAAUCGUUAAUUUCCUAAGCGAUAUCCCUGGUCUUCUAAAAUGAGCUCUUUAUACAACAACCAAUGUCCUUGCAGUUUUUGCUCUCAAAUAGCUUUAACUUACAGAGCCUUCAUCGGAAUUCUCCGCGUCCGUAUACUUUUGCGCAAUGUCGUAAACGAUCGACUUCGUACUUGAAAAACCGAAUAACUUCGGCCAAUAAAUGUCCAGUGCAAAGUGCUUCAAUUAUCACCGCUUUUCGAUUAUAUUCCAAAUUUAAUUUCACUAAAUCGAACAUUUUAAGGUUUAUACACAUUUUACAUAAAUCUAACUUACCCGAGUGCCAACUAUUAUCUACUAUUAAAGUUACAUGUAACGAGAAAAAUUAAAUUUUUUCCAGAUUUGUCCAGCUGACACACCCUGUAGAUAUUUCAACUUUCCAAGGAAAAUAAUUUUGAACAUACACUACAACUUAACUUGCGGCUUCAAAAAUUUUGCGAUGCGAGUGAGAAAGCUUUUUCAACAUGUACUUGCGCUCGAUAAAUGAGAAGGGUUAUUGCGUGGCAAAAUUGGUAUGCUCUAAAUCACGAGUAACUCCGUUAAAAAAAUAAUCCCUGCCAAGGCUGAAAUGGUAUACCGCAAUGUUACUGGCAAAAGCGAGAUUACAUGUGGCUGUGAAUAAAGCACUAAAUCAAAAUUUUGACAAAAUGUGUUUUUGGUCAAAUUCUACGAUUGCAAUUCAUUGAAUAAAUUCUUCACCUCAUAAGCAAAAAACUUAUGUAGAUAAUAAAAUCGCGCAGAUAUAAACUGGCACAGAACACUUUGGAGACAUGGUCCAUCUCAAUCCUGCUGACGCAUUGUCGCAAGGUCAGUUACCGACUAAAUUCGCACAGAAUGCGCUGUGACUAAAUGAACUCAAAUGGUUGGUUGAAGACAAAAAUCAAUGCUCAUUAAUAUAAUGGAAAAAAUUGAGAUACUCAAAGACCAUCAAUUAUAAAUCUAGAAAUAUUUGGACAUCAUUAAACGCUUUUCCUUAAAUUCGUUACAAAGGAUCGUAGCAUAUUAUUUGCGAUUCACACAUAAUAAUCGUGGAAAGAAAAAGCGCAUUAGGCCUAUCAAAACUGUUGAAAUUAGAAGUCAAAAACUAAGCCGGACAAAUUUUUGCCAAAGGAAAAAUCGUCUCAGAAUUCGAUUACGGAUAUGCCUAUGAAAGAGGCAUCCUCUUAUACCAUCUGUUAUCAAAUCUCGAUUCAAUAAUUUUCUCUCAUCUCUCCUUCCUCUGCUCUUUCUUGUCCCUCCUCUUUAGCUCGUCGAAAACAAAACUCGCCUCCUCUCUUCUCUCCUCCACUUCUAUCAUCCCACAACCCCUUUCUUCAAAAAAUUCUUUCUUUUCCUUCUCCCACUCCGAUAACCUGCCUCCCCUCCUAAUUCUCCCACUCAUUUCUUCCCAGCAUCUCCUAGCCAACUCACUACUCCUCCUCUCCGCCAGUCUCUCAUCAAAACCGUAGGCAACCGCGGCAGACGGCGUGAUGAGAAGGAAAAAGCAACAAUGGCUGUCUUACCCGCCUCACCGCGCCGCCUGCCGCGGAUAGAAAAGAAACGAUUAUAUUUCUUGCACUUCAUAUAUAUCACAAUUAAAUUUGAAGAUAAUAAAACAUACCGGUGGGUUGAAUUCCAAGUUUCUCCAUGCCUCUGCCGAUCUGUCCAAUUGCUGCACUGUCGCCUCUCUCACCAAUGCGUUGC